UGCUCUCUGCCCUGCAAGUGAGGUUCGAAGGCCCAGGCGGUAUAGGAUUUAUCUCGGAAUCCCUUCAGGGGUGUUGUGAGCCAGCCCGUCGCGGAGCGGGACGCCUGAUAUACUCACAAGGGAGUCCACCUUACUGGGAGUCGUUCUGAGGCUCCUUGACCCACGGCAGUGGUGGAGAGCGC
rnacentral:other from 1 species